rnacentral:tRNA from 1 species
GCACUGGGUAGCUCAGGGGGUUAGAGCACCAGUUUGUGGCACUGGGGGCCGUGGGUUCAAGUCCCAUCACUCGCCCCA